GACGAACGCUGGCGGCGUGCCUAAUACAUGCAAGUAGAACGCACAGUUUAUACCGUAACUUGCUACACCAUAGACUGUGAGUUGCGAACGGGUGAGUAACGCGUAGGUAACCUGCCUGGUAGCGGGGGAUAACUAUUGGAAACGAUAGCUAAUACCGCAUAAUAUUAAUUAUUGCAUGAUAAUUAAUUGAAAGGUGCAAUUGCACCACUACCAGAUGGACCUGCGUUGUAUUAGCUAGUAGGUGAGGUAACGGCUCACCUAGGCGACGAUACAUAGCCGACCUGAGAGGGUGAUCGGCCACACUGGGACUGAGACACGGCCCAGACUCCUACGGGAGGCAGCAGUAGGGAAUCUUCGGCAAUGGACGAAAGUCUGACCGAGCAACGCCGCGUGAGUGAAGAAGGUUUUCGGAUCGUAAAGCUCUGUUGUAAGAGAAGAACGGGUGUGAGAGUGGAAAGUUCACACUGUGACGGUAUCUUACCAGAAAGGGACGGCUAACUACGUG
rnacentral:rRNA from 1 species